GUUAAGUGACUAAGCGUACACGGUGGAUGCCUUGGCAGUCAGAGGCGAUGAAAGACGUAGUAACUUGCGAUAAGCCCAGAUUAGGUAGUAACAACCAUUUGAGUCUGGGAUUUCUGAAUGGGGAAACCCACUUACAUAAGUAAGUAUCAUUAACUGAAUACAUAGGUUAAUGAGGCGAACCGGGGGAACUGAAACAUCUAAGUACCCCGAGGAAAAGAAAUCAACCGAGAUUCCGAAAGUAGCGGCGAGCGAAAUUGGACUAGCCCUUAAGCUUUACACGCGUUAGACGAACGGUCUGGAAAGUCCGACGAUACAGGGUGAUAGUCCCGUAGUUGACGACGUGUGUUCAGUGAAAUCGAGUAGGGCGGGACACGUGAUAUCCUGUCUGAAUAUGGGGGGACCAUCCUCCAAGGCUAAAUACUACUGACUGACCGAUAGUGAACCAGUACCGUGAGGGAAAGGCGAAAAGAACCCCUGUGAGGGGAGUGAAAUAGAACCUGAAACCGUGUACGUACAAGCAGUAGGAGCAGGCUUUGUCCUGUGACUGCGUACCUUUUGUAUAAUGGGUCAGCGACUUAUAUUCAGUGGCAAGGUUAACCAUCUAGGGGAGCCGUAGGGAAACCGAGUCUUAACUGGGCGUUCAGUCUCUGGAUAUAGACCCGAAACCAGGUGAUCUAGCCAUGGGCAGGUUGAAGGUUGAGUAACAUCAACUGGAGGACCGAACUGACUAAUGUUGAAAAAUUAGCGGAUGACUUGUGGCUAGGGGUGAAAGGCCAAUCAAACCUGGAGAUAGCUGGUUCUCCCCGAAAGCUAUUUAGGUAGCGCCUCGGACGAAUACUACUGGGGGUAGAGCACUGUUAAGGCUAGGGGGUCAUCCCGACUUACCAACCCUUUGCAAACUCCGAAUACCAGUAAGUACUAUCCGGGAGACACACGGCGGGUGCUAACGUCCGUCGUGGAGAGGGAAACAACCCAGACCGCCAGCUAAGGUCCCAAAUUACUACUAAGUGGGAAACGAUGUGGGAAGGCUCAGACAGCCAGGAUGUUGGCUUAGAAGCAGCCAUCAUUUAAAGAAAGCGUAAUAGCUCACUGGUCGAGUCGGCCUGCGCGGAAGAUGUAACGGGGCUAAGUAGUAAACCGAAGCUGCGGCAAUAUACUUUUGUAUAUUGGGUAGGGGAGCGUUCUGUAAGCGGUUGAAGGUGUGUGGUAACGCAUGCUGGACGUAUCAGAAGUGCGAAUGCUGACAUGAGUAACGAUAAAGGGGGUGAAAAACCUCCUCGCCGGAAGACCAAGGGUUCCUGUCCAACGUUAAUCGGGGCAGGGUAAGUCGACCCCUAAGGCGAGGCCGAAAGGCGUAGUCGAUGGGAAACGGGUUAAUAUUCCCGUACUUCUUACAAUUGCGAUGGGGGGACGGAGAAGGCUAGGUGGGCCUGGCGACGGUUGUCCAGGUUCAAGUGCGUAGGCUUAAGAGUUAGGUAAAUCCGGCUCUUUUUAAGGCUGAGACACGACGUCGAGCACCUACGGGUGUGAAGUCAUUGAUGCCAUGCUUCCAGGAAAAGCCUCUAAGCUUCAGAUUGUAAGGAAUCGUACCCCAAACCGACACAGGUGGUCGGGUAGAGAAUACCAAGGCGCUUGAGAGAACUCGGGUGAAGGAACUAGGCAAAAUGGUACCGUAACUUCGGGAGAAGGUACGCUCUUGAUGGUGAAGUCCCUUGCGGAUGGAGCUGACGAGAGUCGCAGAUACCAGGUGGCUGCAACUGUUUAUUAAAAACACAGCACUGUGCAAAAUCGUAAGAUGACGUAUACGGUGUGACGCCUGCCCGGUGCCGGAAGGUUAAUUGAUGGGGUUAGACUUCGGUCGAAGCUCUUGAUCGAAGCCCCGGUAAACGGCGGCCGUAACUAUAACGGUCCUAAGGUAGCGAAAUUCCUUGUCGGGUAAGUUCCGACCUGCACGAAUGGCGUAAUGAUGGCCACGCUGUCUCCACCCGAGACUCAGUGAAAUUGAAAUCGCUGUGAAGAUGCAGUGUACCCGCGGCUAGACGGAAAGACCCCGUGAACCUUUACUACAGCUUGGCACUGAACAUUGACCCUACAUGUGUAGGAUAGGUGGGAGGCUUUGAAGCACGUACGCCAGUAUGUGUGGAGCCGUCCUUGAAAUACCACCCUUGUAGUGUUGAUGUUCUAACGUCGACCCCUAAUCGGGGUUGCGGACAGUGCCUGGUGGGUAGUUUGACUGGGGCGGUCUCCUCCCAAAGAGUAACGGAGGAGCACGAAGGUGGGCUAAUCACGGUUGGACAUCGUGAGGUUAGUGCAAUGGCAUAAGCCCGCUUGACUGCGAGAAUGACAAUUCGAGCAGGUGCGAAAGCAGGUCAUAGUGAUCCGGUGGUUCUGAAUGGAAGGGCCAUCGCUCAACGGAUAAAAGGUACUCCGGGGAUAACAGGCUGAUACCGCCCAAGAGUUCAUAUCGACGGCGGUGUUUGGCACCUCGAUGUCGGCUCAUCACAUCCUGGGGCUGAAGUCGGUCCCAAGGGUAUGGCUGUUCGCCAUUUAAAGUGGUACGCGAGCUGGGUUUAGAACGUCGUGAGACAGUUCGGUCCCUAUCUGCCGUGGGCGUUGGAAGAUUGAAGGGGGCUGCUCCUAGUACGAGAGGACCGGAGUGGACGAACCUCUGGUGUUCGGGUUGUGUCGCCAGACGCAUUGCCCGGUAGCUAAGUUCGGAAUCGAUAACCGCUGAAAGCAUCUAAGCGGGAAGCGAGCCCUGAGAUGAGUCUUCCCUGAUACUUUAAGUAUCCUAAAGGGUUGUCGGAGACUACGACGUUGAUAGGUCAGGUGUGUAAGUGCUGUGAGGCAUUGAGCUAACUGAUACUAAUUGCCCGUGAGGCUUAACC
rnacentral:rRNA from 1 species